rnacentral:rRNA from 1 species
GUAAGGAAUAUUGGUCAAUGGACGCAAGUCUGAACCAGCCAUGCCGCGUGAAGGAUGAAUGCCCUAGUGGUAGUAAACUUCUUUUAUACGGGAAUAAUUCGUUGGUCGUGAACCGACGUUGAAGGUACUGUAUGAAUAAGCAUCGGCUAACUCCGUGCCAGCAGCCGCGGUAAUACGGAGGAUGCAAGCGUUAUCCGGAUUUAUUGGGUUUAAAGGGUGCGCAGGCGGGAUUAUAAGUCAGCGGUGAAAUCCUACGGCUUAACUGUAGAAUUGCCAUUGAUACUGUAGUCCUUGAGUGCAGCUGAAGAGGGCGGAAUGUGUUGUGUAGCGGUGAAAUGCUUAGAUAUAACACAGAACACCGAUUGCGAAGGCAGCUCUCUAAACUGCAACUGACGCUCAGGCACGAAAGCGUGGGGAUCAAACAGGAUUAGAUACCCCAGUAGUCC